AUUGAACGCUGGCGGCAGGCCUAACACAUGCAAGUCGAACGAGCGGCGGACGGGUGAGUAAUGUCUGGGGAACUGCCCGAUAGAGGGGGAUAACUACUGGAAACGGUGGCUAAUACCGCAUACCAUCGGAUGUACCCAUAUGGGAUUAGCUAGUAGGUGGGGUAAAGGCUCACCUAGGCGACGAUCCCUAGCUGGUCUGAGAGGAUGAGCAGCCAAACUGGGACUGAGACACGGUCCAGACUCCUACGGGAGGCAGCAGUGGGGAAUAUUGCACAAUGGGCGCAAGCCUGAUGCAGCCAUGCCGCGUGUAUGAAGAAGGCCUUAGGGUUGUAAAGUACUUUCAGCGGGGAGGCGUUACCCGCAGAAGAAGCACCGGCUAACUCCGUGCCAGCAGCCGCGGUAAUUC
rnacentral:rRNA from 1 species